ensembl:lncRNA
CUCUGAGUGAGAUUAGAAGACUUUGGAGAGUCACAGAGGGACAACUGAUACAUUUUUCGGGAUCAACUUGGACACCAAAUGGAGACCAACCUUUCAGGGUAAAGGGAAUGGGGAAGGAGACCACAUAACCUCAGCAAGAGUUAAUGGAGGCUUGUAUCAGACUGGUGACCAUGGAGAUGGUGAGGAGUAGCUGGAUCCAGGAUGUAUUUUGAAGGAUCCUAUGUCUCGUUCCCUCAGUGUCUGGAACAAGAGCUGCACAAGUAGGUGCCCAUUAAAUGCUCACUGAUGGAGAUGAGUUAGGUCUACAGGCCUCCUUCUGGCCCAAGAGCCUGGCUAUUUCUUUGGAUCAAACAGGAAAGCUUUCUUGUUAAAGGCUGAAUUUCCUCAUGGAAGAGAUGGUGCCAUUUUCUACUUAAUUUCUCCACUUUCUGGUACUUAGAAAAUACUUAGUAAAUGCUAGACUCCCCUGGUGGUGCAGUGGAUAAAAGUCCACCUGCCAAUGCAGCAGACACUGGUUCGAUUCCUGGUCCAGGAAGAUUCUACAUGCUGUGAAGCAACUAAGCCUGUGUAUCACAAUGACGGAGCCUGCAUGCUGCAACUAUUCAAGCCCGAGUGCCUGGAGUCUGUGCUCCACAACCAAAAAAAAACAGCCGUGACAAUGAGAAGCCCACACACCACAGUGAAGAGCAGCCCCCACUCACUUCAACUAGAGAAAGUCUGUGCAAAAGCAUCAAAGACCCAGUGCAACCAAAAAUAAAUUUUAAAGAAACUGUAAUAAAAUAAUAGGAACUUGAAAAGCUUUUUAAAAAGAUUAUACUCAGUAAAUGUUAAUGGGAUAAACAUA